GUCUAGUACUCAGAGUUUGAUCCUGACUCAGGAUGAACGCUAGCUACAGGCUUAACACAUGCAAGUCGAGGGGCAGCGCAGUGUAGUAAUACAUGGGCGGCGACCGGCGCACGGGUGCGUAACGCGUAUCCAACCUUCCCGUUACUCUUGGAUAGCCUUCCGAAAGGGAGAUUAAUACAAGAUGGUAUUCAAAUUCCGCAUGUUAUUUGAAUUAAAGAUUUAUCGGUAACGGAUGGGGAUGCGUGACAUUAGGUAGAUGGCGGGGUAACGGCCCACCGUGCCUACGAUGUCUAGGGGUUCUGAGAGGAAGGUCCCCCACACUGGAACUGAGACACGGUCCAG
rnacentral:rRNA from 1 species